rnacentral:rRNA from 1 species
AUGGCUUGGUUUUCGGCUCAUCUCGUCGCCUUGUUCCUCCUCCUCCUCUCACAUCUCGCGACCCCCUCAUCGGCGACAACAACUCGGCUGGGAGCCGAUCUCCUGGGCGCGGCGCGUGCGCCUCCCUUCGAGUCAUGGCUGCGCGGCCUGCGUCGGCGCAUCCACCAGCGCCCGGAGCUGGCCUUCCAAGAGCACCGCACAAGCGAGCUCGUGCGCGCCGAGCUCGACACGCUCGGCAUCCCAUAUGUCUGGCCCGUCGCCCAGACCGGCGUCGUGGCGACCAUCAUCGGAGGCGGCGGCGGCUCCGGGCCUGUCGUUGCGCUCCGGGCCGACAUGGACGCGCUCCCCCUGCAGGAAUUGGUUGAUUGGGAGUACAAGAGCCUCGAAAGUGGCAAGAUGCAUGCUUGUGGACAUGAUGCCCAUGUGACAAUGCUUCUAGGAGCUGCCAAGCUACUUCAAUCUCGGAAAGAAGAUUUAAAGGGUACUGUCAAGCUUGUGUUCCAGCCUGCUGAAGAGGGCUACGCCGGGGCUUACUACAUUUUAAAGGAGGGUGUCCUCGAUGCCGUUGAUCCUGUCAUUGCUGCUUCCUCCGCCAUUCUCAGCCUUCAGCAACUGGUCGCCCGUGAAACCGAUCCACUCGAGUCAGCUGUGGUGUCUGUUACACAGCUGAGAGGAGGUGAUGCUUACAAUGUAAUUCCCGAAUCUGCGUCGUUUGGCGGCACCUUUCGGAGCAUGACAGAUGAAGGCCUGUCAUAUCUAAUGAAAAGGGUGAAAGAGAUCAUAGAGGCCCAGGCUGCCGUGCACCGCUGCACAGCCAUUGUCGACUUCAUGGAGGAGAAGCUAAAGCAUUACCCAGCCACCGUCAACGAUGAAGGGAUGUAUGACCAUUCCAAGGAAGUGGCCGAGGCCAUGCUCGGGGAAGCUAAUGUGAAGGUGGCUCCCCGGAGCAUGGGCGGCGAGGACUUCGCGUUCUACGCCCAGAGAGCGGCGGGCGCAUUCUUCUUCAUCGGUGUAGGUAAUGAGACCACCAUGGAUAUGGUUCGUCCGGUGCACUCCCCGCAUUUCGUCCUCGAUGAGGAUGUUCUUCCUAUUGGAGCUGCGUUUCAUGCUGCGGUUGCCAUUGAGUACCUGUGUUAG